rnacentral:misc_RNA from 1 species
GCAAACUUGGUCAUUUAGAGGAAGUAAAAGUCGUAACAAGGUCUCCGUUGGUGAACCAGCGGAGGGAUCAUUACCGGGUCUCGCGACUCACAACCAACCGUGCUCUCAUGACAUUAAUCGCCGAGGUAGGCCGCUCGCUGGGUGGAGCAGCCGGCCGGGGGCGGGAAAUUCCCGGCGGCCUACCAGAGCACCUCUUCUCUCUCUAUGAACUUUCUGAGAAACCCAAAAAAAAUCACAACCUACAACAAUGGAUCUCUUGGCUCUGGCAUCGAUGAAGAACGCAGC